AUGGUCCAACUGUGCCAGAACGUAGAAUGGGUCCUGGUCUUUCCCUUACAUAUCAUAACAUAACAUGGUCCAACUGUGCCAGAACGUAGAAUGGGUCCUGGUCUUUCCCUUACAUAGUGCCAGCGAACGUAGAAUGGGUCCCACUGGUCUUACUUUCCGUACCGUACAUAUCACAUCGUCAUAUCAUAGAUCGAGGGCUAUGGAUCAUCCAACAUUCAUCC
rnacentral:lncRNA from 1 species